rnacentral:rRNA from 1 species
UACGUAGGGUGCGAGCGUUAAUCGGAAUUACUGGGCGUAAAGCGUGCGCAGGCGGUUCGUUGUGUCGGUGGUGAAAGCCCCGGGCUUAACCUGGGAAUGGCCAUGGAAACUGGCGAACUGGAGUGUGGCAGAGGGGGGGUGGAAUUCCGCGUGUAGCAGUGAAAUGCGUAGAGAUGCGGAGGAACACCGAUGGCGAAGGCAGCCCCCCUGGGCUAGCACUGACGCUCAGGCACGAAAGCGUGGGGGAGCAAACAGG